UUUUAAACUAUGUAGUGGUAUUGCAUCAUAGGCAUAUUAAGCAGGGUUCAUUACACACUUGAUUGAACGAGUCACACAUGCACCUUGGUUAUUACAGCAUUGAUAAAGAGUAGCGAAAUCAUCUCCACAAAAAGAAGGGGGAAAACAGUGAUCAUGGAUGGAGUGGCUAAUCGUCAUCUCGAGCUCAAUGCAUCCACUGUUCCAGAUGCUGGGACAAUCUUCGUGGUCGUCGCCGCCGUCGGUAACCACUGUAUUUUUUGAGCCUCACCUCACAAUUUGAGUGCAAAAUUCAGAAACAAAGAGAGGAAGUGGAUCGAGAGGACGGGAAGGAAGAAAAGCAUACCUGGCAGCAGCGGAUCCCACACCAGUGCUCUUCCAGGAUCCACUUGACACUGCUUCCCUGGCCCUGCUACGAGGAGGCAACAAAAUCAAGUUCAGUGUUCCUAUGGAACCUACAAUUGAUCAGAUCAGUAUAAUCGUGAGCAUCUAUAUGCAAGAGAGAGAACAUAAUUUGGUUCAUCAUGACCCACUUGCUGACCCGUUGCUAGAAAGCCAAGUAAAAUGACUUCAUUACGUGUGAUCAGCACAGUGAGAGAUCUAGCUCUGUACUAAUAAACUAUGGAAGUGUUGGAAAGCUAAACAAAAUCCCAAAACGAUCCUCAUUAUUAAGCAUGGAUGAUUAGGGCUAAGUAACUUUUCGAUCAAUAGGGCAUGAUACAAAAAGUAAUGUAAUUAACAUGAAGACUCGCUUCAAAAUCAUCGAGAUGCUUUGUAGCAUCAAUGGAGAUGUUUGCCACUAUUGUAUUUGAAGCUUUCCUGAACCAGUUAAGUAUUCAACUCCGAGCUGAUC
rnacentral:lncRNA from 1 species